AGAGUUUGAUCAUGGCUCAGGAUGAACGCUAGCGGCAGGCCUAAUACAUGCAAGUCGAGGGGUAGAGUAGGCUUGCUUACUUGAGACCGGCGCACGGGUGCGUAACGCGUAUGCAACCUACCUUUAUCUGGGGGAUAGCCCGGAGAAAUCCGGAUUAAUACCGCAUAAAAUCACAGAAUGGCAUUAUUCAAUGAUCAAACAUUAAUGGGAUAGAGAUGGGCAUGCGUGUCAUUAGCUAGUUGGCGGGGUAACGGCCCACCAAGGCGACGAUGACUAGGGGAUCUGAGAGGAUGACCCCCCACACUGGUACUGAGACACGGACCAGACUCCUACGGGAGGCAGCAGUAAGGAAUAUUGGUCAAUGGAGGCAACUCUGAACCAGCCAUGCCGCGUGCAGGAAGACUGCCCUAUGGGUUGUAAACUGCUUUUAUCCGGGAAUAAACCACGAUACGUGUAUUGUGCUGAAUGUACCGGAAGAAUAAGGAUCGGCUAACUCCGUGCCAGCAGCCGCGGUAAUAC
rnacentral:rRNA from 1 species